GAAUCAGGCGUGUGAUGUGCUAUCUCCCCAGCAGAUGUUGUGCAGUCAGAGACGUCGUCGUCUGCCUCGUCCUCUGAUGUCAGUCAACAGUUUGCCUCCUGCAGGUCUAAGUUGGAUGUCACAUUUGACCAACUACUCGGUGUAUGUCCACAUCCUUCUACUAUCCAGGUUCCAGAAGAUGGGGCGUGAAGAGGAUAUCAGAUAACGAGACGCAAACCAACGGGAACGAAGUGACGGGCGCCGGUGGAGCGCGAGGCUGCGGAAUCAAGAGGAAAGGAGACUUUAACCAGCACUGCUGCAUUCUGGGACCACAAGCGCCGCUACAAUGCGACCCAACCCUGAUAGAAUCGGCGCCAUCGCAGAACCCAGGAGGGACUGGAUAUUCUUGAAAAGAUGCAGUCAGUAGGUCAGCGUGAAUCGACACAGGUGGCGGACGGUGGGUCCGGCGUGAAACACCGGAGCAGCUGAGGCCAUGCCGGCUGUGUCAUUACUCUCCGCUGCAAAGACUCUCCAGUGUGCAAGGCUCUGCUUAUAAGGUAAACAUUUGGCCAUCAUCGCCAUGAUUAUGCCCGGGCACAUGUCCCUGUAGAAAUAUAUUUAGGCGGGGUGGGGGUAUGCAACUCAUUAAUAGCGUGGCUGACUUACCACGAUAACGUUGCCUCCACAUUCCUCAGAGAGGUUUUACUUUUUGACCAAUUAGCCGGCGGAGCAACCUAUUGGCCACCAUGUGAUCUCUGCAGGGACUUUAUCAGAGCACGCUCUAUUAAAUCCAGUCUCCGGCUGAGGCGUGAUGUGCCAUCCCAGUGCUUACAAUGGCUGCCAAAUGCCAAAUAUUAAUAUUUUGUGGAAGAGCGUCCGUGCAAAACAUACUUAUCUGAAGCAAUAGGCUUGAUUGAAUGGA